rnacentral:rRNA from 1 species
AGAGUUUGAUCCUGGCUCAGGAUGAACGCUAGCGGCAGGCUUAACACAUGCAAGUCGAGGGGCAGCAUAAUGGAUAGCAAUAUCUAUGGUGGCGACCGGCGCACGGGUGCGUAACGCGUAUGCAACCUACCUUUAACAGGGGGAUAACACUGAGAAAUUGGUACUAAUACCCCAUAAUAUCAUAGAAGGCAUCUUUUAUGGUUGAAAAUUCCGAUGGUUAGAGAUGGGCAUGCGUUGUAUUAGCUAGUUGGUGGGGUAACGGCUCACCAAGGCGACGAUACAUAGGGGGACUGAGAGGUUAACCCCCCACACUGGUACUGAGACACGGACCAGACUCCUACGGGAGGCAGCAGUGAGGAAUAUUGGUCAAUGGACGCAAGUCUGAACCAGCCAUGCCGCGUGCAGGAUGACGGCUCUAUGAGUUGUAAACUGCUUUUGUACGAGGGUAAACGCAGAUACGUGUAUCUGUCUGAAAGUAUCGUACGAAUAAGGAUCGGCUAACUCCGUGCCAGCAGCCGCGGUAAUACGGAGGAUUCAAGCGUUAUCCGGAUUUAUUGGGUUUAAAGGGUGCGUAGGCGGUUUGAUAAGUUAGAGGUGAAAUUUCGGGGCUCAACCCUGAACGUGCCUCUAAUACUGUUGAGCUAGAGAGUAGUUGCGGUAGGCGGAAUGUAUGGUGUAGCGGUGAAAUGCUUAGAGAUCAUACAGAACACCGAUUGCGAAGGCAGCUUACCAAACUAUAUCUGACGUUGAGGCACGAAAGCGUGGGGAGCAAACAGGAUUAGAUACCCUGGUAGUCCACGCAGUAAACGAUGAUAACUCGUUGUCGGCGAUACACAGUCGGUGACUAAGCGAAAGCGAUAAGUUAUCCACCUGGGGAGUACGUUCGCAAGAAUGAAACUCAAAGGAAUUGACGGGGGCCCGCACAAGCGGAGGAACAUGUGGUUUAAUUCGAUGAUACGCGAGGAACCUUACCCGGGCUUGAAAGUUAGCGACGAUUCUUGAAAGAGGAUUUCCCUUCGGGGCGCGAAACUAGGUGCUGCAUGGUUGUCGUCAGCUCGUGCCGUGAGGUGUCGGGUUAAGUCCCAUAACGAGCGCAACCCCUACCGUUAGUUGCCAUCAGGUCAAGCUGGGCACUCUGGCGGGACUGCCGGUGUAAGCCGAGAGGAAGGUGGGGAUGACGUCAAAUCAGCACGGCCCUUACGUCCGGGGCUACACA